GGCGGAGGCGCGGUCGCAGCGCUCCGCGGGCCGGGGGCAGCGGGCGGGGGCGGGCGAGCGCCGUCGGAACAGGGCUGCACCCCGCGAGCCCCUCUCCAGGCGGUGGGAGCGACCGCGGGCCGGGAAUUCCCGGCGGGGCGGCGCCGGGCAGGCGGGGCGGUAGGCGGAGCGGGGUCCUGGCUUUCCCCGCCCUUUCUGCCGCCGUCUCUGGGAGGUCGGGCGAGCCGCCCGUCCCGUCCCGCCGCGCUCCGCUGCCCGCCCCUGGCUCCGGCCGCCGGGCGCGCCGCCCGCGUCCUCGCCCCCGGAAAGGCGGCGGGAAAUCGCGCCGAGAGCGCGGGGUGGGUCGGCCCCGUCCCGCCGCCUCCCCGCUCUCCCUCCGCUCUCCGCCGUCUCCGCUCUCACACAACCGCCCCCCCGCCCCGCUCCGGUCCAGGGAAAUGGAGGAAAACACGAAAGCAUCGGGGCAGAGCAGCCGCUGGCAGCGCCUGAGCCGGCUCCCCGCCCGCAGGGCCGAGGCUGCCCACCGCCGGGAGCUGACAGGCCUGUGCUGGAGAGUGGGAGGAAGGUCCCUGCUGGUUGCCGUGUCCUCGGUGGGCAGAGAGCUGUGACCUUGGCCGGAUGGGCUGCCAGCUUGAUUUCCGUUUCUUUUUCACAGGUUCCUGGGUGUUUUGAUCCUGACAUCACCAAACCCUCAGGGUUGCUGAGUUAGGGCUCUUACCUGUAUGGCCCAUGAAAUGUCCCAGAAGCUGAUUGAUGUCUUGGUGCCGUUGUUGUGUUCACUUUGGCUGUGCUUCAGGCUUCUCUCCCUGGGCUCUUGCAGUUGCUGUAUCUCUUGGAUGCUGUGCAGGACGGAAUCAGGCACCCAAACCUCAGGUUCACCUUCUCCCUGACCCUCUACGCUGGUCGUGUGGCACAGCAGAUCCUGGAGCCAGCUGUUUCUGUAUUCCUGACUUCUCUUCACGUCAGGCACUCGUGGCUUGGAGCACAGGAGCUGGAUAUGUCACUUCACCGUGUCAGGAUGGGAAAAAAGGUCUGCAGAUCUUCCUACAAUGGGGCGCAAGUGCAAAGAACGAGGAGGCAGAGGAAGACUGGACUUGGGAAUCAGGACACUUUUCUUGGCUUUAAAAAAGCUUGAAUGGCACUUCAAGACAUUUAUAUCAGACCUGGUUUAGUUUUAUUACCCUUUUUUAAAUGCUGCUGUGAUGUGCAACAAAAACCUGUCUUCCCUCUGCUUGGAACAGCUGAGAGAUGGAACUAAACCCCAAAGGAUUUUCUGCUCAGGGAUUAUAUGACAGCAGGAAGACUGAAAGUGUGAUAAGAUGUGGAGUGAAAUGGAGAAUCCGAGAAGUGACAAGAGCAUCCGGUGCACAGGGGGACUGUGCAGUUUGCUUUUUGCUUGGAUUUCAACUCCAAAGUUGUGAGGAAUUUGGAAUGAGAUGGGACAUUUCAGAAGAAGACCAAGGAGAGGAAAAAGAAGUUGUUGCAGUCCUGGCAAAAUCUUUUUUUCCUAGCUAAUAAAAGAAGUUAGUUUGAAAAAAAAAAAAAGUGUUUUUUUUUCCUUCACUCGUAUAUUCUUUGGUGGUGGAUGUAUGGUGUGUUGUUUUCCUUUUUGUAUUAUUAACUAUGUGCAAUUUGGUUUUGGAGUGAAGAUAACCUUAUGGAUGGGGUUGGUUUGUAUUUGAGGUAGAAUUAAUUUCAAUUGGUUUCCUUAACAGACUUCUGAGAUGUAGAAUAUUGGGAUUUUGGUUGUGUUCCUUGUAUGUGUAAAGAUACAGAUUUGGUAGGGCUAGCUGGGCUGCUGGAGUUUUUUGGGUGUUAAUUUAUGAGAUGGCUUUUGCUGGAUGCCAUUUUUAAUUUUUGAAAGUUUUUUUCAUGUAGCAGUUUUAAAGUGGUUUUUUGGAAUUCAUAGUAUUGUUUUAUAUUGUUUCUGCUUGGUGUAUGACAAUAUGGUGUACCUCUUGAAUGUUACGGUUUUGGUGUUAUGCUUUUGAUUAGCUUUUUAAAAAUUCUUUUUAUGGAUUAUUGGUUAUUAUUUGUGAGUUAGCAUAAAGGUAGAGCUUUGGGGGCUUUUUUUAGACGUGUUUAGGGUCAGUUGUACAGUUUGGAGUUUAGUGAGUUGGUCUGAUGUAUUUUUUAUGCCAUUUGUUUUUAUUAGCAGUUAUUUCAUUUUAAAUGUGUAUUUGAGUUUUUUGGGUUUUUGAGAUGUUGGUUGAGGAGGAAGUUUACGCUUCUAAAUGAUGGGGGUUUUGGGGUAAUAGCAAUGGGAUUUUAAAAUUGAUUGAUAGUUGGGUUUAUUUGAAUUUUGAAUGGGGUUAAGUGUGGU